GACGGACCACACGAACGUUAUUCGGAAUUACUGGGCUUAAAGGGUGCGUAGGCGGCCAUGUAAGUGAGGUGUGAAAUCCCUCGGCUCAACCGAGGAAUUGCGCUUCAAACUGCCGGGCUCGAGGGAGAUAGAGGUGAGCGGAACUGAUGGUGGAGCGGUGAAAUGCGUUGAUAUCAUCAGGAACACCAGAGGCGAAGGCGGCUCACUGGGUCUCUUCUGACGCUGAGGAACGAAAGCUAGGGGAGCAAACGGG
rnacentral:rRNA from 1 species